CUUGGGGCCCCCCCGCCAGCAGCUGGCCGAGCUCUUCAAGCACAACAGCUUCCAGCUGCAGCAGAUCGAGGAGGAGGUGACAUCCCCUACGGCCACCGUCUAUAGGUGCGGUCCCCUGUUCCAGCUCUGCCGCGGUCCCCUCCUCCGGCACACGGGGCUGAUCAGAGCCCUCCGCGUCCUGACG